CCUAAUACAUGCAAGUCGAGCGAAUCUGAGGGAGCUUGCUCAGCGGCGGACGGGUGAGUAACACGUGGGUAACCUGCCUGUAAGAUUGGGAUAACUCCGGGAAACCGGAGUAACAUUUUGAACCGCAUGGUUCGAAAUUGAAAGAUGGCUUCGGCUAUCACUUACAGAUGGACCCGCGGCGGUUGGUGAGGUAACGGCUCACCAAGGCGACGAUGCGUAGCCGACCUGAGAGGGUGAUCGGCCACACUGGGACUGAGACACGGCCCAGACUCCUACGGGAGGCAGCAGUAGGGAAUCUUCCGCAAUGGACGAAAGUCUGACGGAGCAACGCAUGAAGGCCUUCGGGUCGUAAAGUUCUGUUGUUAGGGAAGAACAAGUACGAGAGUAACUGCUCGUACCUUGACGGUACCUAACCAGAAAGCCACGGCUAACUACGUGCCAGCAGCCGCGGUAAUACGUAGGUGGCAAGCGUUGUCCGGAAUAAAGCGCGCGCAGGCGGUUCUUUAAGUCUGAUGUGAAAUCUCGCGGCUCAACCGCGAGCGGUCAUUGGAAACUGGGGAACUUGAGUGCAGAAGAGGAGAGUGGAAUUCCACGUGUAGCGGUGAAAUGCGUAGAGAUGUGGAGGAACACCAGUGGCGAAGGCGACUCUCUGGUCUGUAACUGACGCUGAGGCGCGAAAGCGUGGGGAGCGAACAGGAUUAGAUACCCUGGUAGUCCACGCCGUAAACGAUGAGUGCUAAGUGUUAGAGGGUUUCCGCCCUUUAGUGCUGCAGCAAACGCAUUAAGCACUCCGCCUGGGGAGUACGGUCGCAAGACUGAAACUCAAAGGAAUUGACGGGGGCCCGCACAAGCGGUGGAGCAUGUGGUUUAAUUCGAAGCAACGCGAAGAACCUUACCAGGUCUUGACAUCCUCUGACACCUCUAGAGAUAGAGCUUUCCCCUUCGGGGGACAGAGUGACAGGUGGUGCAUGGUUGUCGUCAGCUCGUGUCGUGAGAUGUUGGGUUAAGUCCCGCAACGAGCGCAACCCUUGACCUUAGUUGCCAGCAUUCAGUUGGGCACUCUAAGGUGACUGCCGGUGACAAACCGGAGGAAGGUGGGGAUGACGUCAAAUCAUCAUGCCCCUUAUGACCUGGGCUACACACGUGCUACAAUGGAUGGUACAAAGGGCUGCAAGACUGCGAAGUCAAGCGAAUCCCAUAAAACCAUUCUCAGUUCGGAUUGCAGGCUGCAACUCGCCUGCAUGAAGCCGGAAUCGCUAGUAAUCGCGGAUCAGCAUGCCGCGGUGAAUACGUUCCCGGGCCUUGUACACACCGCCCGUCACACCACGAGAGUUUGUAACACCCGAAGUCGGUGGGGUAACCGUAAGGAGCCAGCCGCCUAAGGUGGGACAGAUGAUUGGGGUGAAGUCGUAA
rnacentral:rRNA from 2 species